UCAUUCACGUGACAGCGGCGCCACGCCCAAAGCGUCUAGCGUCGGACGCCCGAUAAAUGCUCGUGAUUCUGUGGUUUGUUUUUUGUUGGCUUUGGAGAGGAUAUGGACUGAAAAAAAAUGCACAACCUGGAAGUUGAGAAUUAUGUUUUAUUCAGCGCACUUGCUGAGGACUUGAGCCCGGGAGACAGCCUCUCAGAUAUCUCCGACGGACUGUUCUGAAGAGGGUGCACCUUCAGGGACAGCUGCAGUGAUUGAUGGUUUGACGGCCACACCAUUCUUUGCUAACUGAAAUGGCAGGCAGCAUUCGAUGUCUACAUAGGUAAUUUCUCAGUGUCACACAGCUAGACAGAAACCCAGAUUUUUACCCUCCAAAUCCCGAGUUCUUGCCCCUAAGUACAGGUAACCCUUGAAUACCUCUGGGAUUAGGGGCCAAAAAUUCAUUUAUAACUUUACAGUAGGUCCUCCGUAUUGCAGUCCACAUCUGCAGGUUCAAUCAACCAUAGAGUACUCGCUCUGUGACCUUGAGAUGUCAGUUCUAAGCCUUGGGUUUGUUAGGUAAAAAUGGACAUCAUUGUGGUACCUGCAUAGCAAACCACUGCAGAAUUUAGUGGCUAACACAAAUAAUUUGUUAGGAUUCUGUGAGUUGACUGGGCUCAGCUGGGCAGUUCUAGAUUGGGGUUUCAUGCAUUUGAAGUUCGAUGUCAGCUGAGACUUUAGUUAACUUUGGGCUCCAAUGGAGAUUAUAUUGUAGGCACUUUAAGGUGUAAGCCCUCUAGGGGCUCAUCUAGAGCUAUCCACCAGAGUGCCUACACAUGGUCUUCUCCCUCUGGUUUGGAUCUCUCAGGGCAAAUCGCUGGGUUCUGAUAGGGAACACUCGGAAAUAGAGCAGAAAGUGAGCUGUUCCAAGCCAUACAGCAGGAAGCUCAAGGACAGGACUUCAUAUGAUCUAGCCUUGGGAGUAGAAGUUACUUCUGUCACAUUUUGUUAAUCAAGGAAUCUCCCCAGAUUCAAGGGGAGAUAGGGAAGAUUCCUCCUCUUAAUUGAACGAGUAGCAAAGAAUUUAUGGCCAUCUUUAAUUUACCACGCUUUACCACGCUUUAAUUUACCUCAUUUGUUU